rnacentral:lncRNA from 1 species
GGGAGCGGGGCGUGCCGGGCCGGCAUGGCGGCGGGGACGCGCCGGAAGCUGCGCAGCAGCCCGGCCGGCGGCCAUGCGGGCUGCGCCGAGGCAGCGGCCGCCGAGUAACGGCCGCCGCGUAACGGCGCGGGAAGGUCGCUGAGGGGGAGCUCGGGGCUGGGGCCGCCAGCGCCGCGCGGGGCGCCGAGGCACGGCGGCGGCCGGCAGGUGAGAGCGGGGCCCGCAGGCCAGGCGGCCGCCGCACGGGGGUUGUGUGCGGCGCCCUGAUGGCGACGCGGAGCCCUUUGGGAGGCGGCGGGUGCCUGUUCGGGGCUUGGGGGGCGGGAGCGGUGUCUCACGGGUUCCUGAAUGCCGACUGAGUAUUUCAUGUCAGUAGCUGUGCGGUGAGGGCGUGCGGGGCGGCUGGAAGCACUCGCUGGUAAAAGGAUGCUGUUGGUGAGGUACUAGCGCAUACACGUGUGUAUGUGCCCGCUGGUCAGUGUUGUUGCCUUCCGACAAUUGACUCCACAAACACUUUUUUCUUCUGCAGUCUUUCCAUAACAUAUGGAUCACUCUGGAUGUGGAUUAAGAACUGAGGAGGCUGUUUAACCACAGCUCUGCCUGCAGCAGCUGAGCACCUUUAGGUGUUGCAGAAAGGGCAGCCGUCGGCACAGGGGCCAGCACAGCCCUGGCAGCGGGCACCCCACACCCCUCUGUGCCGCGUCCCUUCCUGAGAGCUUGCAUCUCUCAGCCACAUCUAUAAUAAACUGCACUAGUUUAGGUUGUAUUUUCUUUGCACCAACUGACAUUUUUUCGGAAGGACUGAAUGAUUUGUCAACAAAACGGGUAGUCCCUAUCGCUUGUCAUGUGGCCUUGUUGAACCUCAUGAGGUUUGCACUGGCCCACCUCUCAAGCCUGUCAAGGUCUCUGGAUGGCAUCCCAUCCCUCCAGCAUAUCAACUGCACCACUCAGCUUGGUGUCAUCUGCAAACUUGUUGAGGGCGUACUCAAUCCCUAUGUCAUUGACAAAGGUAUUAAAUAGUAUUGGUCCCAGUACAGACUUCUGAGGAGCACUGGUCAUUACUGGUUUCUACAUGGGACAUUGAGCCAUUGACUGUAACUCUGAGUGCAGCCAUUCUACCAAUUCCUUAGCCAUCUAACAGUCCGUGCAUCAAACCUGUAUCUCCAGUCCUCCACCUUUUCCUUGGUUUCAGUCUUCUGCCUUGUCAGCUCUGCAGCUCAUCAGACCUUUUCACAGGCUAAUUUAACUUACUAUAAGAGCAGAAAAACUUGUGCUUUACUGAGUUUUUUGCUGCUCUGUGAGUUCAGCUAGCUUGUGGAAAGUCUGACAAAGACGUCAGCUGUUAGAGAAGGUGGGAAGAGGGAAACGAGGAUAGAGGAGACCUCCCUGUUCUGCAGCAGUGACCCAUUAGAUCAACUCAUCUACUCAAUGAAACAUGAGCAUAACCUUAAUAAUUAUACCAGGUCCAAAGCAUAGUUUGUUUUACAUUUUUCAAGUAUCCAGGGUAAAAGAAGGAAAGUAACAUAAAUGGUUUAAAACAUGGUCCAGUAAGCUUGAAAGUGCAUUCCUGUGUACUUUCCUAUCUGUAAUGUGGAAUUUACAUGUUGCUACAAUGGCUUGUUUCAGCCCUUAAUACAUUAGUCUUUUAAUUGACUUGGUUUUUUUGGCAGUUGUUGACCUGAUGCCCGAUUUUUGUACAUUGUGCAAAGAUCACUAGUAACUUGCUGUAACAUUACGAA